UUGGUUUUGUGAAAUGAAAGAUGGGUUGCAGAGAAAGAGACCAAUGGAAUUGCAUUUAGCUCAACAUCUGAUCACAGGUCCUUCUUCAUAUUCUCAAAGCAGAUCAUUCUAUUAUAAGAGGAAGAGGAAGAAUCUUGUUUUUUCAAUGAUUAAUUGGGAUUUGCUAGUUAAGUUGAGUCUUGGUUAACAGAAACAAUGAAGGGAGACAAGAAGCAGAAUGCUAGGGGUUUAUUGGCUUAACUUCAAAGUUGGUGGACAAAUGUUGAUGUUUAUAUCGCCACCAAAACUUUUCUGUGGACUUGGAAGGUCAUAAGAAAAUUUGGCAGUAACUGCUACUUUGGAUAGGUGCUCUGUCAAAGUGAUUUGAAAUUGAAUAAUGCAACCUCUUACAAGCCAGGUACAGCUCUAAAUAUAUGCUUUAUGAAUUAAAAAAUUCAAGAAAUGAUGUUGAAUGAUAUGCUUUUAAUUAGUAGUAGAUUGUCAGGAGCCACCAUCUUAGAUGGAACAUGGAAGAAUAUAUACAGUAUUUCAAACUUUAGAUUUUAUUGUAAUAUGAAGAAAAGAACUGGGAAACAUGACAUGCUGUGUGUAUUUUUUUUUUUGAAGAAAAAUACUAGUACUCAGUAGUGCCCAGGUGUUGUAUUUUCAUGGUGAAAGAUUAUCCUUUUUGUAAUUUUCUAUGAAUCUGUUUUCACUGUUCCAAUAGAAUUUUAUGGAAACAAAAAAACUCGGUGUGCUUGCUACUCAGUUACCAAAUAUUUGUGCUUAUAGGUGCUUAAUUAGCAUUUCAAUGUUAACAAGAUGAAUACAUCCGAAGGUAUUGGUUUUCUGUGCAAUUUCCAACAGAAACUUAUUGGAAUAACCAAUAAAACAGGAACUUAGAUGUAUAGUUAGUGGUACUGUACCAUAAUGUCAUUAUUGGAUUUGGGACCAAACACAGCCCUAAAUUUAGAAAAUAAAAAAAGCUCAGCACGGUGGCUAUACAUAUUCCAUUGACCACUGGCUAAUGUUAUCUCUUUCACUGGGCAGUCUUUACUACUUGAUUUCAGGUCUUGAGUUCAGAGAGAAGUUGAACAACUUGUUUGUUUUUUGUUUUCUGGAUUGUUAGUAUGAAUAACUGUUGCAUAGUAAUGGGCACCGUGUAGGUCAAGUUUUCACAUAUGAAAUGCUUGAUUUGAAGUUGCAAUGUCUCCUAGCAAAGAAACUGUAUUCUAUCUAUGGUAUGUCUUGGCAUUUUAUUGUUGACAAUUUGUAAUUUUCUUAUAGAAUCUUAAAUCUGUAACUUCUAGUUAAGUGGUAAUGUAAAUUGCUUGCAGCAUGAAAGAUUUAAAUAGUUUAUUUGAUAUGUCAACUCCCGUCACAUGCAUGCCGUAUUAAAGGUUGGCUCCUUAUAGUGCAAGUAUUCUAUAUUAAAGGUCUUUAGUGUUCAAUGGAAAAUUAGAGAUUCACUUUAUUCUGUAGCUACUGUAAUUUUACUAGUGUCAUCGGUUGGUUGAGUGCUUUUGAAAAACAAAAGCAGGCAUUCUGGACCUAUAAAAUUAUGGAGAUGUCCAUGUCUGCCUAGCAACUUUUUGCUUGAAUAUGCAAGUACAGUGAUUACGCAGAGAAUGAACUGCAUGAACCAUUGAGAGUUAUUGCCUAAUAGUCUGACAUGUUGAUAUGUUAGAAUCUGUAAACAGCAUGUUGCUCCCUUUUGAGUUUGCUUUUCUCAUUAGAUCUUUUCUCUGUGGCUGACGUUGGUUGAAUAUAAAAUGAAAAUGGGGAAGAUUCACCACACUAACAUUCAUUGAGAAAGCAAGGAUUAGAGAAUCAUGGCAAAUGAUUUGUAGGACCAUUAAAGUACAAACCUCGCUCAGUUUUAGGGAACUAAAGGAUAAGUAUAUUAGGUUUAAAUCCCACAUCCUUGGCAAGAUAUGUAUUGAGAAUCCUUUACCUGCGUGUAUGAGACAGGUCUAUUGGACAGCACUAACAGUAAACACUUAGCAUUUUCUGAUGUUAUUUAUGAUAAUUGUUUUCUUUUUGUUUUUCAAAUUGUUAUCACGGUUCAUUACGGAUCAACCUUGUAUAAUGCACUCUUCUGAAAACAAAUAUUUUUUUUGUGCUUGGCUGCCAAUGAGUCAAGUUUAUGGCUGAAUAGUGGCUGAAUAAUCAUGUGGAGGAUCCUGUUUAAUGAUAUUUAUUUGUGAUUGUUCUCUCCAGAACGAUCCCAAAAAAGAAACUUGACUUGUUCAGGUGUUUCUGCUUUUCUCUCUCGCUACACACCCUGCUUGGAUCUUUUGCCCCUGGAUUGCAGUAUUGCACCUAAGACGGCAAUGGCUGUAGAACAGUUUCACACUGCUAUAUGGCAUUCUGUCGUUGGUGUAGACUGAAUGCUGCAAAAGUGGGUUGAGACGUCUGAGGUGCUGGUUCCAAGGAUAUUCUUGCCCGUGUUAUGAUGCCAAACUGACCAAGUCCUCCAAGAACGCCGUGAAAUAGGUCACUAUUCUGCUUCUCUGAGCAAUUUAAUACUUCUCCCUUUCCUGCACGGAGUUUCAGUUAUUUUACAGAAGGAUUUGUGAGAUGCACAUGAUAUUUUUUUCAUGCCAUGUUUGCAUAUUUGUGUGUGGUCGUGCACUCUAAUUUUUGUACUUGAACAUCAAAUUAUUGGCAAUGGUCAAAAUAUCUUUGGUGGGAGCAAGGUCUAGGCACAGCAUGCAUAGCAAGGACAAUGCCAUGAAUACUUCAUUUGACCCCGGUCCCAUUUGCCUAGAUGCAAAUCAUUCAUGUGUGUUGCCUACUGUAUUUUCGUUUUCUCCCUUCUCCUUUUUUUUUUUUAAAAAAAACAAAACAAAAAUCUUUUUUUCGCUAUUUUACUAAUUUUACUCGAACGAACCUGUAACAACUUCCAGCUGAUUGACAUUACUGAUCUGAGGGCCAUGCCGAAACGCCUGCCCACUAACCCCAGCAUUAGACAAAGUACCGCCAACAGUUAAAUGUAAGUAGUCUGUCCAUGAUUUUGGUGCUAACCCAUACUUGAGGCAUUCACGCAGGAUAUCUAUCCACAACUCACCGCCAGGGGCAUCCACAUAUGGAUAGUUUCCACUGUAAACAUGCAUUUUAUGAACCUGGAGUGAUUCCAUAUUGAUUACAACUCCUUGGUGGGCUUGUGCCUGACCCUGGAGUGAGUGGCUGUGGCCUCUAGCUGCAACUGUCAGCUCUGAAUCAGGACCCAUCUGCCAAAUAUGCCUUAUCGUAGUGGCAAUAUCAGAAACUGACUUUGGAUAUAGUACUGCCAAAGGUAGUAGCUGAAACCUAUUGCCGAAGUCUUUGGCUGCAUGGUGAACUUCAUCAAAGCUGAAAUGCCCGUCAACGGAGAGGGUUCUCAACGAAGAAGGGUUGCUGGAAAAACAAAGGUUUAUUGUUAUGGUCAUGCAGCUCAGGAACAAAAUCAAGAAGCUUCUUACGAAAAGCAUAUUGGUUUGCUUGAGGAUACUCACAGGUAGAUAUCUCAUUUAUUUUUUCAGUUGGAAAGUUGAGGAAAGAAAGGUGAUUAAGCUGGUUUUCUUUCACGUUUGUAUGCAAAAAGAGCAAAAGAAGUGGUAUGGAGGAGCCAAGGGUUGGGGGGGGAAUUUAAAGGUGAAGAUUUUGGGUGGCUGAGUCAACCAAUAUUCAGUUUUAAGAAUCCGUAUGAAGACUGCCUACUUGUUAUGACUUUCUUUUGGUUCUUCUUUUUGUGCUCUUUGAUUUAUAACAGAAGCCAUCAAACACAGAUGCCAAGUUGAAGAAAAAAAGGCACAGGAAAGAAAGAUUUCACAAAUCUUUGCACCUUUUCCCAACAGUUGCAACCACAAUCUCACCUUUUCCACCAAAGACAAACAUGCCUCGAAAUUUAUCUCUCUUACCAUGUUAAAGGGAACUUUGUCUAUAUUUAGAAAAAUGAGAUACUCAAUGGCUUCGCCGGUUUGUGUAUCCCUCCGCCUCUGAUGACAGGUAUGCCCAUACCUUUGUCUCCCAUACAUGAAUUAUUAUAGAUUAUGUUUUUCUCAUAUAUAUGGCUGUCGGAAUGUAAGCAUCGCGUAUCUGCUUUGAGAUCAGAUGAGAGGCACUAUGGGGCCUCCCUUUGAUUUAUUUGAAAGGGAGGGACGAUCAGGUGGGGUUUUUUAUGGGUCCAUAAGACACGUGAAGUGCUAAUCCAUGUGUGCCAGUGUGAAGAUGUAAGAAGAAGAGUACUGUAGAUGGGGAUGACAGCUUGAGGGAAAGCACUGAAAGACUCCUCUGCUACCUCUCUAUUGUUUGUUGUUUUGAAGCCUUAGUUCCCAGCAAAGUGACAAGUCUGAAGGAUUCUCUUGUUUAUUUGUUUGCAAGUGCAAUUAAAUUACAGUAGUUCAAUUA